GAUGAACGCUGGCGGCGUGCCUAAUACAUGCAAGUCGAGCGAACAGACGAGGAGCUUGCUCCUCUGACGUUAGCGGCGGACGGGUGAGUAACACGUGGAUAACCUACCUAUAAGACUGGGAUAACUUCGGGAAACCGGAGCUAAUACCGGAUAAUAUAUUGAACCGCAUGGUUCAAUAGUGAAAGACGGUUUUGCUGUCACUUAUAGAUGGAUCCGCGCCGCAUUAGCUAGUUGGUAAGGUAACGGCUUACCAAGGCAACGAUGCGUAGCCGACCUGAGAGGGUGGUCGGCCACACUGGAACUGGGACACGGUCCAGACUCCUACGGGAGGCAGCAGUAGGGAAUCUUCCGCAAUAGGCGAAAGCUUGACGGAGCAACGCCGCGUGAGUGAUGAAGGUCUUCGGAUCGUAAAACUCUGUUAUUAGGGAAGAACAAAUGUGUAAGUAACUAUGCACGUCUUGACGGUACCUAAUCAGAAAGCCACGGCUAACUACGUG
rnacentral:rRNA from 1 species